rnacentral:rRNA from 1 species
CCUGCCAGUAGUCAUAUGCUUGUCUAAAAGAUUAAGCCAUGCAUGUGUAAGUUUAAGUGCUUUACAGCGAAACUGCGGACGGCUCAUUAAAUCAGUUAUAGUUUAUUUGAUAAUAGAAGUUACAUGGAUAACUGCAGUAAUUCUGGAGCUAAUACAUGAACGUAGCCUUCGGGCGUCUUUGUGAGGAGAGCACAUACUCUGUUGACUCAUUACAACCUAACGGAUCGCAUGGCCUUGAGCCGGCGACGAUUCAUUCAAAUUUCUGCCCUAUCAAGUUUCGAUGGUAGUGUAGUGGACUACCAUGCUUGCAACGGGUGACGGGGAAUUAGGGUUCGAUUCCGGAGAAGGAGCCUUAAAAACGGCUACUACUUCCAAGGAAGGCAGCAGGCGCGCAAAUUACCCAAUAGUAACACACUGAGGUAGUGACAAUAAAUAACAAUACUGGUCCUUUCAAAGGACUAGUAAUUGGAAUGAGUACAAUUUAAAUCUGUUAACGAGGAACCAUUGGAGGACAAGUCAGGUGCCAGCACCCGCGGUAAUUCCUGCUCCAAUAGCAUAUACUAAAGUUGUUGCAGUUAAAAAGCUCGUAGUUGGAUCGAAGGUCGAGAUUGGGAUGGUCUGCCGGGUUGGUGUGUACUGCCCUCUCUCACCGUAAUUUGCCUUGUUGUACGCUGGUGACCUUAACUGGUCGCUUGCUAUGACUAGGUCGUGUACUUUGAAAAAAUUAGAGUGUUCAAAACAGGCAUUUGCUUGAAUAGAUUAGCAUGGGAUACUAAAAUACGACACGAAGCACUCGUGCUGGUGUUAGUGUAAUGACCAAUAGGAAUUAUUGGGGAUGUUCAUAUUUACUAGUCAGAGGUGAAAUUCUUGGAUUUAGGAAAGAUGUACUUAUGCGAAAGCAUUCAUCAAGGAUGUUUUCAUUGAUCAAGAACGAAAGUUAGGGGAUCGAAGACGAUCAGAUACCGUCGUAGUCUUAACUAUAAACGAUACCGACUGAUAAUUGAAGGAUGUUUUCAAGGUGACGCCUCCAGCGAUCUAGAGAAAUUAAAGUCUUUGGGUUCUGGGGGGAGUAUGGUCGCAAGGCUGAAACUUAAAGGAAUUGACGGAAAGGCACACCAGGAGUGGAGCCUGCGGCUUAAUUUGACCCAACACGGGAAAACUCACUAGGUCCAGACAUUUGAAUGAUUGACAGAUUAAUAGCUCUUUCUUGAUUAGAUGGGUGGUGGUGCAUGGCCGUUCUUAGUUGGUGGAGUGAUUUGUCUGGUUAAUUCCGAUAACGAACGAGACUAGAACUUACUUAAUAGAUGGACUAAUUCCAUAAGGGUGAAGCAUCUUGGGAUUGUGGGGUUUACCUCAUGGUUCCUUGGUGUGGAUCCUGGGUUAAUUGGUUUAUGCUUCUUAGAAGGACUAUCGACGGUAAGUCGAUGGAGGUUUCUAGCAAUAACAGGUCUGUGAUGCCCUUAGAUGUCCUAGGCUGCACGCGCGCUACACUGUAAGAAGAUAGAAAGUUACUUUCAUAAGUUCCUUACUCGAUAGAGUUGGGUAAUCUGCAUAUUCUUACGUGCUGGGGAUUGAUAAUUGUAAUUAUUUGUCAUCAACGAGGAAUUCCUAGUAAUCGCAGUUCACGAGACUGCGCUGAUUACGUCCCUGCCUUUUGUACACACCGCCCGUCGCUCCUACCGAUUGAAUGAUCCGGUGAGGAGCAAAGAUUUUUUUCUGAGGUGGGAAACCAACGAAGUGAAAGAGAAUUGCUUCAAACCUUAUUAUUUAGAGGAAGGAGAAGUCGUAACAAG